GAUCAUGGCUCAGGAUGAACGCUAGCGGCAGGCCUAACACAUGCAAGUCGAGGGGUAGAGUUCUUCGGGACUUAAGACCGGCGCACGGGUGCGUAACGCGUAUGCAAUCUACCUUAUACAGGGGAAUAGCCCAGAGAAAUUUGGAUUAAUGCCCCAUAGUGUUAUCGAAUCGCAUGGUUUGAUAACUAAAGUUCCAACGGUAUAAGAUGAGCAUGCGUCCCAUUAGUUAGUUGGUAAGGUAACGGCUUACCAAGACAAUGAUGGGUAGGGGUCCUGAGAGGGAGAUCCCCCACACUGGUACUGAGACACGGACCAGACUCCUACGGGAGGCAGCAGUGAGGAAUAUUGGACAAUGGGCGCAAGCCUGAUCCAGCCAUGCCGCGUGCAGGAUGACGGUCCUAUGGAUUGUAAACUGCUUUUGUACAGGAAGAAACACUCCCUCGUGAGGGAGCUUGACGGUACUGUAAGAAUAAGGAUCGGCUAACUCCGUG
rnacentral:rRNA from 1 species